rnacentral:rRNA from 1 species
UGCGUAGGCGGUUUCGCAAGUUUGGUGUGAAAUGUCCCGGCUCAACUGGGAGGGUGCGCCGAAAACUGCGGGGCUUGAGAGUGGGAGAGGUAAGCGGAAUUCCUGGUGUAGCGGUGAAAUGCGUAGAUAUCAGGAGGAACACCAGCGGUGUAGACGGCUUACUGGACCACGACUGACGCUGAGGCACGAAAGCGUGGGGAGCAAACAGGAUUAGAUACCCUGGUAGUCCACGCCCUAAACGAUGCACACUUGGUGUGAGCGAUUCAUUUCGUUCGUGCCGGAGCUAACGCGUUAAGUGUGCCGCCUGGGGAGUACGGUCGCAAGGCUGAA